rnacentral:misc_RNA from 1 species
GAAAUGCUAUAAGUAAUGUGAAUUGCAGAAUUCAGUGAAUCAUCGAAUCUUUGAACGCACCUUGCGCUCCUUGGUAUUCCUUGGAGCAUGCCUGUUUGAGUAUCAUGAAAUCUUCAAAGUAAAUCUUUUGUUAACUCAAUUGGUUUCUACUUUGGUAUUGGAGGUCUUUGCAGCUUCACACCUGCUCCUCUUUGUUCAUUAGCUGGAUCUCAGUGUUAUGCUUGGUUCCACUCGGCGUGAUAAGUUAUCUAUCGCUGAGGACACUGUAAAAGGUGGCCAAGGUAAAUGCAGAUGAACCGCUUCUAAUAGUCCAUUGACUUGGACAAUACUUUUAUGAUCUGAUCUCAAAUCAGGUAGGACUACCCGCUGAACUUAAGC